AUGGCUGAUAUUAGGGAACCUACUGCCAAACUUUGGUUAUUUCAUGCUCGUGAAACUUUAUCAUAUGCACAGUUCGUGGAGAUGGCAGUCACCUUAUGGGCAAUUUAGACAGCUAGGCGCAAGGCGAUUCAUGAGGAAAUCUAUCAAAGUCCGUUGGCAACGCACAAGUUUGUGAAACACUUCAUAACAGAGUUGGAUACCAUUAAUGAGCUGUCUCGUAGGGUUCGGGUGCCAGCCCAGCCAGGUUCGGGUUGGAUGCCACCUCCGAGUGGGCACAUGAAAAUCAGUGUAGAUGUGGGACUCUCUAACACAGGAACAUCAGCAGCUGCGGCAGUGUGUCGAGAUAGUACGGGCUUGUACUUGGGCUCGUCGACUUUGGUGAUUUCAGGAGUUACCGAUUCUUCAGUUGUUGAAGCCAUAGCUUGCCGAGAAGCACUUGCACUUGCAAAAGACCUUUCACUUCAGGAUUUUGUGGUGGCAAGUGACUGUAAAACAGUAGUUGAUGACAUUCAAAGAUGACAGGGCGGAGCUUAUAUGACAAUCAUCAAGGAGAUUUGUAGGCGUAGAUCCUCUUUCAAUUCUUGUAACUUCUUUUUCGAAGGUAGAUCAUCAAAUACUGAUGCACACAACCUUGCCAAACACUCUUUAUUACUUGAUCAGGGUCGCCAUCUGUGGCUUAUUCAACCCCAUGACCCUUCAUGUAUCCCGCUUAAUGCCCAACUAGAUGAAUAA
rnacentral:rRNA from 1 species